rnacentral:rRNA from 1 species
AUUGAACGCUGGCGGCAGGCCUAACACAUGCAAGUCGAACGAGUGGCGGACGGGUGAGUAAUGUCUGGGAAACUGCCUGAUGGAGGGGGAUAACUACUGGAAACGGUAGCUAAUACCGCAUACCAUCAGAUGUGCCCAGAUGGGAUUAGCUUGUUGGUGGGGUAACGGCUCACCAAGGCGACGAUCCCUAGCUGGUCUGAGAGGAUGACCAGGCACACUGGGACUGAGACACGGUCCAGACCCCUAAGGGAGGCAGCAGUGGGGAAUAUUGCACAAUGGGCGCCAGCCUGAUGGCGCCCUGCCGCGUGUAUGAAGAAGGCCUUCGGGUUUUAAAGUACUUUUAGCGGGGAGGCGUUACCCGCAGAAGAAGCACCGGCUAACUCCGUGCCAGCCGCCGCGGUAAUAC